UACGUAGGGUGCAAACGUUGCUCGGAAUCAUUGGGCGUAAAGCGCACGUAGGCGGCUUCGCAAGUCGGAUGUGAAAUCCCUCGGCUCAACCGAGGACGUGCAUCCGAAACUGCGGAGCUUGAGUACUGAAGAGGAUCGCGGAAUUCCCGGUGUAGAGGUGAAAUUCGUAGAUAUCGGGAGGAACACCAGUGGCGAAGGCGGCGAUCUGGGCAGAUACUGACGCUGAGGUGCGAAAGCGUGGGGAGCAAACAGG
rnacentral:rRNA from 1 species